GUGAACGCUGGCGGUAGGCCUAACACAUGCAAGUCGCACGGCAGCACAGUAAGAGCUUGCUCUUACGGGUGGCGAGUGGCGGACGGGUGAGGAAUACAUCGGAAUCUACUUUUUCGUGGGGGAUAACGUAGGGAAACUUACGCUAAUACCGCAUACGACCUACGGGUGAAAGCAGGGGAUCUUCGGACCUUGCGCGAUUGAAUGAGCCGAUGUCGGAUUAGCUAGUUGGCGGGGUAAAGGCCCACCAAGGCGACGAUCCGUAGCUGGUCUGAGAGGAUGAUCAGCCACACUGGAACUGAGACACGGUCCAGACUCCUACGGGAGGCAGCAGUGGGGAAUAUUGGACAAUGGGCGCAAGCCUGAUCCAGCCAUACCGCGUGGGUGAAGAAGGCCUUCGGGUUGUAAAGCCCUUUUGUUGGGAAAGAGAAGCAGCAGGUUAAUACCCCGCUGUUCUGACGGUACCCAAAGAAUAAGCACCGGCUAACUUCGUG
rnacentral:rRNA from 1 species